rnacentral:rRNA from 1 species
UACGGGGGGGGGGCAAGCGUUUGUUCGGAAUUACUGGGCGUAAAGGGCUCGUAGGUGGCCAACUAAGUCAGACGUGAAAUCCCUCGGCUCAACCGGGGGAACUGCGUCUGAUACUGGUGGGCUUGAAUCCGGGAGAGGGAUGCGGAAUUCCAGGUGUAGCGGUGAAAUGCGUAGAUAUCAGGAGGAACACCGAUGGCGAAGGCAGGUCUCUGGGCCAUAACUGACGCUGAGAAGCGAAAAGCAUGGGGAGCGAACAGG